rnacentral:rRNA from 1 species
GGUGAACGCUGGCGGCGUGCCUAAGACAUGCAAGUCGAGCGGGGCAGGUUUAUCCCUGUUCAGCGGCGGACGGCCGGGUAAAGCGUUGGUGACCUACCCGGAAGACUCGGACAAACUUGGGAAACCCAGGCUACUCCGCCCUGUGGUCCUUUCCUGUGGGGCAGUACUAAAGGGCGGUUAGCCCGCUUCCGUAUGGGCCCGCGUCCCAUCAGCUAGUUGGUGGGGUAAAGGCCCACGAAGGCGACGACGGGUAGCCGGUCUGAGAGAAUGGCCGGCCACAGGAGUACUCAGACACGGGCGCCGCCCCUACGGGGUGCAGCAGGAAGGAACGUUACGAUAUAGCAGGAAGUCUGACGGAGCGACGCCGCUUGGAGGGGGCAGCCCUCCGGGCUGUAAACUCAUGAACCGGGGACGAAAGCCCUGUGUAGGGGGGUGACGGUACCCAGCUAAUAGCGCCGGCCAACUCCGUG